rnacentral:rRNA from 1 species
CACAUGCAAGUCGAGGGGUAACGGAAGUAGCUUGCUACUAGACGACGACCGGCGCACGGGUGAGUAACGCGUAUGUAAUCUGCCUUGUACAGAGGGAUAGCCCAGAGAAAUUUGGAUUAAUACCUCAUAGUAUUACUGAAUCGCAUGAUUUGGUAAUUAAAGCUCCGGCGGUACAAGAUGAACAUGCGUGACAUUAGCUAGUUGGUAAGGUAACGGCUUACCAAGGCUACGAUGUCUAGGGGUUCUGAGAGGAUGAUCCCCCACACUGGUACUGAGACACGGACCAGACUCCUACGGGAGGCAGCAGUGAGGAAUAUUGGUCAAUGGACGCAAGUCUGAACCAGCCAUCCCGCGUGAAGGAUGACUGCCCUAUGGGUUGUAAACUUCUUUUAUAUGCAAAUAAACCUACUUUCGUGAAAGUAGCUGAAGGUAGCAUAUGAAUAAACACCGGCUAACUCCGUGCCAGCAGCCGCGGUAAUACGGAGGGUGUAAGCGUUAUCCGGAUUUAUUGGGUUUAAAGGGUACG